GGGCCUAGGAAUAUGUAUUUAGAAAAAAAUCACUCUAAGCGAUGCUAAUAUACAGCAAAUUUGAGAAUCAUUGAAGAAUAUUUAAAUAAUCCCAAUUAUUAGGAAUAAAUACAAUUUGAGAUAGAAAUUUAUUAUUUCAUUUGUAGUUAUUUUGAAAAGCUAGAUACCCCAUGCUUUGUAUAAUUAUUUCUUCUGCAAGUUUUAAUUUCAGCUUUGGUUUCAAAUUUAUGAUCUACUUUUUGACUUUUGAUAGGUGUUCAAACUUUUUAGAGACAAAGUCAACCCUGAUAACCAUGAGGGAUGAAUAUUGCUCACUAUAGGGCUAUUAGGCAUACUAGAUACAUUAUACCAUUGCUAGUUACUGCCCAAGCUGUGCAGUAGAUCACAAUAUUUGCUGAUACUCACCACUGAAAUAUAAACUAGGUACACUUGGACAGAGAAGCAAAUAUCAGAUGUUAAAGAGACAGCUUUAUUUCUGAAUGCUUUGAUUUUUAUGUUAUAAAAUAUCACCAACUUGAUAUUUAGUAUGACACUUGGAUGUGUACAUUCAUCUAAAAAUGAUCUCCUAGCAAUAUCUUAUAACAGCCUUUCAAGCAAUAAUCUAAGCCAUGGUGGUGAUGCCAUAUGAAACUUGUACUUCUGUGCACUUCAUAGAACUUUUAGGGAAACAGAGACUUGUUUUAUAUAAGCAAUAAUAUAGCUGGUGUAGACUUUUAUAAGAUAUUCACCAUUCUACUAUAACAAAAUGAACAGCAAGUGAUGACUCAGAUGAAAACUACCUGAGCAGUUAACAUGCUUAAUCUCUUUCAGAAGUCCUUCAUUUUCACACAUGCUGUAACAUAAUUAAUAUACUCUGAUCAGAUUGUUUCUGAUGUAUAAUAUUAAUAACCUUCAAAUAUGGUUACUAUUCUUCUCAAAAGAUUUGUGUGUGUAAUGUUGACCAGAUUUUCACAUCUUUGUAGUAUUUAGAAAAUAGGAGUAUUUUAAGGAUGGAUAAAUGAGUAAAAGUAUAGUAUAGAUAGAUGAGUUGAUUGAGAAUGUAGGCUUUGCAAAAAUAUAGAUGCAUAUUGGGAUAAGUUAAUUAAUGCAGGUGUUGGUUUGGUAAGGUCUGAGGAGAUGAAAGAUUAAAGAUAAAAAGAACUAUUAUCACCAUUUUCUGCGAUGGCAGACGUUUAGUAAGUACAGUAAUAUUUUGGCUUCCAGAAUGUGAUUGGUUGAAAUUCAUCUGUAGAAUAAUUACAAAAAGUCUGAAAAUGAUUAAAUAGUUACAUUUGAAAUAAUCUGCCCUUCUUAGUCAUUUUGAUGAUAGCACUAAAGCUUCCCACUUUCAAAAUGAAUAAUUAAUAUUUUUAAUUUUAUUAAAAUAUAAUUUAAAUCAAAUGUGGCACAAUCAAUAUUCAGUCCUUUAAUAGUUAAAUUACUGCUCUAUCAUUUAAAAUCAUGUAUUAGGAUUACAGUUAAAAGUAUCUGAUAAAUUUAUGAUAUAAUGAGGAACUUCUAAUUAUCCAGUUAUUAUUUAGCAAAAUUGUUUAAGCUUAGGAUUCAUUCUUAAGCCUCUAAAUAGGAUUACAGCUCCUAUUAUUCCCUAGCUGGAUCAACUCUCUUCUAAACGUGAAUCUGAACACAACUGGAAUUAUGCAUGGGUUUGCUAGUAUUUACCUUAGCAGAAUUUAAAUUAGCUGCCUCCUACCCACAAUUUAUAAAAUUCCUCUACACAAAUUAAACAGAGUUGUUGAGUCACUGAGAAAAAUUUUCUCCACUUAAGAAAGCUUUUGGCAAUCAUCUUUUUGUAUAUUAUUGGAUGCUUAACCCUUUGUUCUUUUGAUAAUAAAUAAUAAAAUACUUAAUUUGAAUCCAUUAAAUUACAGUGUUUCUUUUCCAAGUUAAUUCAUCUAGUUGCUGAUCAGACAAUUCUUAAUAUUAGACAUAAGUACUGUUGCUUAUUGUUUGAAAGCAAAAAAGACAAGAAAAACAAAAUGGCAUGCAUAAGUAAUAGUUAUUUUCUAAUUCCUUUGAUAAAUAUUUUUAAAAAUAAAAGAGUUGCUUUAUAUCUAUUCUUCUGUGGACUUUUUGCUAGUUGGGGAUAAAUAAUAGAUUAGUUUUACUGUGGGCUAUUAAGUGUAAUUAAAUAAUAGGAUAGUAAUAUAUCAAUUGCGAUAAAAUCAGCAUUUUGGGAAAUUCCUUCUUCGCAUCACCUCACUUUUUUAAGGAUAAUUCUUGCCAUUUUUGCCUGGUAGUUAUACAUCAGACUUAGGGUGCAGGGACAGAUGAAGAGGGUAGAAUGGGCAGGAGCUUUAUAUGAGACUGAGCAAAAAGAUUUAACAUUUUUCUUCAUGAAAGUAUACAUACUCCUAAAGCAGAGGUAAUUUUCACAAUAAACACAUGUAGUUUAGUGAAAGCCAAAUGAUUUAUUUGGUUAUUCUUAUUUUAAAAAGAUAAGAGAAAAAAAUCCCUCACAAUCUAUUUUCAGUUUUCUUAGGCAGUAGCAACAGCCUCUGAGCAGGAGCACACAUCAGUGAAACUGGGAUUAGAAAUUCCAAAGCUAUAUAUAGAAAACUCUCUGAAAGUGGCAGAUAGAACUAGUCUUGGUUACAAUGAUGAAGGUAAAUGAAAGUGUCAGAACAUCUGGACUGAAGGAACAAAGAAGGCCAAAUACCAGGUCUGCCAUAUGUCACAAAAACACUGCUAAAAUUAGCACAAAAGAACACUAUGAGUGUUCAAGUGAUAUUAAAACAAACACUUUUUUUUUUCCUUUUAUAACAUGCCUGGGUGAGCUAAUAUUCAGUGAGAAUACAAUAUGAUUUGAUAAACCUUUUGUUGUUGUUCUGACUUUAUAAAAAGUUUAUCUUUCCCAAGUUGAAAAUUUUAAUUAGAGAAUGAGAAAUAUUUACUCUAUAUGCUAACAUCUGUAAAAUCACUUUUGGGGCCAUACUACAUUCUGUAUUAUUCUUCACAUUGCUCUCAAAUUGGGCUUUAGCUCUAAACAAAACAAGUGCUCAACUUUAGAGGAGCUAAAAGCUUUAUGAUACCAGACUAUCCUUCUUCAGGGAUUUUUCAGAGCAUUGGAACUGGAGAGUCACUUCCAAAGCAUUUGAUGGUGUUCUGCAGCAGAAAUGAAGAUAUUCUCCUGGUCUUUUAGAAAUAAAUGCUUAGGUAGCUUCUAAUCAUCAUGCAGAGAUUUUCAAUUAUGUAGCUAGUUAAUUCAAGUGGAGUCGUUUAGAACAGAAAUUUUGAAAGGAUGAUACAAAACUGAACAAUUUUUAAAACAGAAUUUUCAGAAAAAUAAUUUAGGACAAAAAUUUUCUGUCUUGAAAGUCAAAUUACUUUAUUUUUUUUAUUUUUGGCUGCCCUGCUUCCCAGGCCAGAGAUCAGAUCUGACCUACAUUUGUGGCAACACCAGAUUCUUAACCCAAUGUGCCAGGAAAAUAAUUUUAUUGAUGGAUUCUUUAAGGUUUUAUCCCCUGGAUAUAUCAAAAAAAUUUGUUUAAAAAAAUAAUGUCAAUUUUUUCUCUGUGUUUUUAUUUGUUGCAGAAAAUAUAGAAAAUGUCAUAAAUAAGACAGUUAUGAAUUUUGGCAUUGAGUCAUGGUUAGCAAAUUUGGCAACAAUUUUCUUAAAAUAAUAAACUAUUUUUAAUAAUUCUAAAGGUUAAAGAUAACUGUCAAAUAUACCCUAUUCACACUUGUCUACAUUAGAAUAUAGAUCAAACUUCUCAGAAUAAAGUCUAAGUGAAAGCUAAUUUAUCUUCAAAUCUUUUGAACAAGUAUAAAUAUCUCCACAUGUUUUCUUAUUAGCAAGAAACUAUGCAUUUCCAUAAUUGAGGUUAAUGAAACCUCAAUUUCUAGAACAAUUCUAUUUUUAUUUACUCCCAAGAAGCAUGGCCUUGUGGUCAAUAUCAUUUAUCUUCAAGGCCAGCAAGAAAGUAUGACUUUCUUCUGAGAUUGGGAUGAUCUUUAUCAAUAUAUUUGCCUAUAAUCACUUAAAAUUCAACCCCCCACUUUUUAAAGCUUUUGUUAGUUCAAAUCUCCAUAAUUAAAUUGUAGCAAAUCCCAUAUUGGAGUGCCAGAUUGUUUAACAUGAAAAACUUCCUUCUAAAUUGUAUUUGUGUAAGUUAUCAGGUUAAAAAUCAGAGCCUAGGCUUGACACAGAAUCUCAGAUAAACUGCUUUUGUAUUAUUUGACCAGAAAGUAUUGUCAAAAAGAUAUUAAUUCUUAUGCUAAAUCUCAUUCUAGCCAACAAGGUCCAGAUAAACUAGAUGACUGUAGUCUACAGUAAAUCAGGGAAUUUUUUUAAAAAUUCUUUUUGAUCUUGGUUGUACAAAAAUAAUUAUUAGUGAAUGGUAGCCAAAAUUAUUAUUCCUAUCUUUUAAAUUUGUUUCAAGUGUGUCAACAGGCACUUAUAAAAUCCAUUCCUUUUAUCUGUUUUAUGACUCAAUGACCUGAAAUAGUGAGUACCCAUUGCUUUUGCUUCUAAUGAAUAAAAAUCAUUAUAAAGUAAUCCUUAAAAAUACUUUUUUCCAUACAAAAUGCAAAUGAAUACCUGACUAAAGGAGGUAUCUCAUUUCAGAAGUAUGUAUGAAAUACUUUAGCUAGGUUCAACUAGACUUCAACAAAGAAAAAGAUAGGAGACCAACAAGGAAAUUGAAAAGAGCCAGAAAAAUCACACUUUGCCUACAUUAAGUUGUCUGUAGCCCAACCCUGUUAAACUAGAAGAAAGGCAAAAGUAGACUAACUUAUUAUAGAUUUUUAAACACAAUAUUCAUAUGUAGCAGAAUGCCAUAAAAUUCAGCAUGUUGAAACUUUGAUAAAAUGAAAAAGAAACUAAAGAAACAUGCUAAUAAGAAUAGAAAGAUUUAAAAGGACAAAAAUAACUUCCUACAUUACAUAUGCCCAUCAGUACAGAAUUUGUUUUCUAUUGGGAAAAUUUGUUACUAUGUCUUUAAUCAAUAUUUGCUUUAUGAUCUAAUUAUAUGUUAGCAUAUUUUUAUGCUAAUAAAAAACACAUAAGAUUCCACAUGUCAUGUGACUAUAAAUUGAAUAUCAAUACCAAUAGAGUUUGAUGUUAUUUCUGAAUAAGAUUAUUGAUGAAAUUAAAUGAAUGGGCUAUAUGUAUAGGUAUUAUGUGUAGUAAACUAAUUAGGCCCUUAAGUUUGUCAGCAUCCUUAGCUUCUCUUUUCCACCUCUCCCUUUCUCCUUCCCUCCUGUCCUUGCCUCCCUCUUUCCCUCCCUUCUUGCAUUCUUCUUUCCUUCCUUUUUUUUCUUUCAUUCUCUUAUGAAGUAUGUGAAAAAUAGUAUUUCAUUAUGGCUGAGGCUUCCUUUUUUCAUUCCCACAUGAUUGAAUGUUUUGUGGAUUCAUGAGAUAAGGAAAAAAGGUGAAUACUUAGAUAUAGAUCAUUUGGGCAUAGAAAUGACUGAGACAAUUGAGACCUUGGCUGCCGUAGAAUUGUUACCAAUUAAGAGAAACAUGAGUCUAAAAAAUAUGUUGCUAUUUUUUACUGCAUUUAAACAUGUUUUCAAGAGGUAUCAGAGUCAUCUUUUCUGGACAUUCUCCUAUUUUUUUUGGUCCCUAUAAACAUCUUAAUUGGGAGAAAUUCUCUUAUAUCCAAAUAGUAAUUUUUUCCUUGGGUACCACACUGCUAAGAUUAAAAUAGAGAAGAAGCUUCCUCUAUCUGUAGGGAAAUCACUUUCUAAAAACUACUUCCUAAUAAGGCAAAUACUACUUAAUUUUACUGUUUCUUUAUCUAGAGAUGACCAAAGCAUUGUCUUGCUUCCUGUAAACCCAUCUGUAACUCACUUUGGCAUAGCAUAGUGUUUUGGUUUCUUUUUUAAAGGUUUGAAAAUGUUUACUAUCAAUUUUAUGUCCACUAUAUUGAAAAAGCAAUAUACAAUGUAUUCCAUAUUUCCUAACUCUAUGCCUUUAGAUUUUAGCAUACAGAUAACUUUUGUAACCACAGUUUGGUGUAUUCACUAGAAUUAACAAAUUAAUAUGUUCUUAAGCACCAAAACAUAGGUUUGCUCAUUUUAUGAUACCUGUUUUAAGAAUCAGUCAUUUACAAAUCUCAAUCCAAAACCAUUUUUUUCAGGGAAAAUUCAGUUAUUUCCAGCAGGGUAUAUUGUUCAUCAGGGAAAAAUGGUAACAUAUCUUAUUUAAACAAGCAAUGGUGAGGAAGAACAUGUCCUUUCAUUUUAGGCACACUUACUAACUUUGAAAUCACAAUAAUUUAAACAAGUCUUGAACAAGAUUUAAAGAAUCUUUAAACUCUCAAACUGAAAAAUUUAUUAUUUUCAUUUUUUAUGUUAAUGUAUUAAUAUUACAUUCAAACUACUAAACAAGUUAUCUCCAUGACAUGUUUGUGUUCAUUAACAGAAAAUUAUAUAGAAAUAAUACUUUGUAUUUUUCUCUCUGGAAAGAUUUGCUUCAUUAAGUUAAAUACAUUUGAAUUUUGGUUCUUAUUUCUCAUUUGAAUUUCUUUGUCAUACAUCUCAGGGAUCUUCUAUGCUAACAGAUCAAGUAGUCAGUUAAAUGAAGGGAUAUGAAAAAUUCAGAAAAGUUAAAUUCAAAAGGAAAGAAUUUCUAUUUUAAUCAACCUUUAUUUAUUCCACACUGACAUUUACACUGAAACUGAAAAAAUAAGAAACAGCUUCCAUGUAAAUUGACAUCUAUGAAAAUACAAAUUACUUUCUCCCUGUGAUUUUUCAGUGUCAAGAAGGCCUUUGUCUUGAAAUGAUGGACAAUCUUAAUACUUUUUCAAAUGAAGAAAUAUAACCUUCCAUACCUUUACCAUUUUCUUUUGUUAAGGGAACUGUUUUUGAUAAUGAAUAUAAAAAAAGAAGAAAUAUGGUUGAGGAAAACAGAAGAAUUAAGAUGAAAUUUGAAUAGCUUUAAGCCACAUUCCAUUUUCUCCCUCUAUUUGGUCCCUCUUACUAAGUAAUAGCUAAAGCCCAGAUUGGCAAAUAUAAAAGACUAUUAAUCAUUGUCUCAUUUAAGAAUUUGGAGAUAAGCAAAGGUUACUCCAACUAUAUGGAAAUUGAUUCACAUUAUGAUGGCAGUUUACGACUACCAGGAAAUUCAGGUUAGGUUCAAAUUAAGAAAUUGCUCAUGGAGAGAAAGAUUUUCUGAUUUUCUUAGUGUAGAAUUAACAACUUUUUUCUUUAAAAAAAAUUCCUAAAAAUUUUGGCUUAAAAAAUUAUAAAAUUUUAUAACAGCCACCUGUAACUACACUAUAACUUUAGUAAUCAAGUGACAAAGCUGUCUCAAUAUGCUUUUAAAAUGUACCAAUUAAGUACAUUCCAGAAAUGAUGCAUAUCAUUCUUCAUUUCAAAGUCAACCUACCUGAAUUCUUACUCUUCAACUGUGAGUAUCCAUUUUGAACAACCAAAGAGUCUCAUUUCCCUAACAGUACUUUAGGUAAAAACUAAAACAAACUUGCCUGCUCAUUUCAAUGCAUAAGGUAAAUAGCCAGUGCUUUUCCAUAAUACAUUCCAGUACUAUGUAAUAAUAAAUAGAUUUCCCAAGCCACUUAAUAAAAACACACGGUUAUAAUGUUCAAGGCCUUCAUUCAUUUCCUCGCAUGGGAUAGGUUUUACUUAACCAGAUACCUGAAUUAUUUUAAUGUUUUGUCUAAUUCAUUUGUUGUAAUUUCAUAGGUUCAAAUUUUUGGUUUGGCUUGCAAUGUAAAUAAUAUUGUUCAUUUGCUAGUUUAGCAGAUUAUACUCUGUAAAUCAAUACUUUAAAAAAAUCUAGUUGUCACAAACUUAAAUUACGAUGUCAUCAAAUAACACCAGGAUAUAUACUAAUAUAUCUGUAGGGCAUGGUUAAAUUGAAUAUAUUUUGAAAUGUCUAGUAUUUUUUGUUUUUUAAAGAUGAAUGCAUCUCUUAAACCUGUACCAUUAAUUUUAAAAGUUCAAUUUGGUGUUUCAUAUUAUAUUUUAAGAUAUUUUUCUUUACCCAAUACUAUAAGUUUAGAGAAACAUUUUCUGAUUGAAAAGAUAACAUAUGCCUCAUUUCAAGAAUUUUAAGAAUACUAGUAUGUAUAAAAAUAUGUAAACACAUAUAAGAUUAUAAACUUCCAUUCUAUGUUUUGGCUUUUCAUGUAACACCACUUCUUACUCAUUUGAUUGUGCUUAUUUGUAAUUAUUCUAAAUCAUGCACGAUGUAAAUAGUGUGGUUCAUUAUGCAAAAUGUCGUUGUAUUUACAGACUGCAGAACAAGGUAAAUUUGUAAACUGAGUGAUAAAAACUUGGGUUUCUUAUAAAACAAAGUGGAAAUAACAGUUGUGUGUUAUAUUUAUGUAAUUCAUUACAAAACUGUUUAUGCCAUGCAUUUAUUUACCUUAUAAGACUAAACUGUCACUUAUAAAAUAUUUAAAUCAAUAAAUGAUACCAAAAAGG
rnacentral:lncRNA from 1 species